rnacentral:lncRNA from 1 species
CUCCCUUAGACAAAAUAAACUUAUCUGCCUCAAAAACAAGUUUGAAACCAAACUUAUUCAACAGACUUCCAGACACUAAAUUUUUCCUAACUUCUGGUACAUAAUAUACAUCAUUUAAGGUUAAAACCUUUCCAGAAGUGAAUUGUAGUUCAACAGACCCUUUGCCUUUAAUUGUUGCGGUGGAAGAAUUUCCCAUGUACAAGACAUUGUCAUUUUCACAUUGUGUGAACUUUGUGAACAUGCUUUUGUCUUUGCACACAUGUUUGGUUGCUCCGGUAUCAAUCCACCAUGUAUUAUCAUCUUGUGCCAUAUUAAUUUCAGAUAUCAUUGCAACGAACUUUUCGUUAUUAUCAGCCUUAGAAGAUGAUUUCUUCUUUAAAAAUCGACAUUCAUUCUUGAAAUGUCCCGGCUUUCCACAAUGAUAGCAUGAGCCCUUUUGUUUCUUUUUGAACUUAGGUGCUCUAUCAGUCUGAUUGAACUUUCUCUUGAAUGGUUUAGUAGUCUGUACUUCCUCCGUAACAUGUACUUUGGCAUUUUCAGAAUUUAGGUUCUGAUCUUGUUUUCGAUACUCUUCUUCAAUACGAAGAUGAUUUGCCAAAGCCUCAAGAGAUAUUUCCUCUUUCUUAUGUUUUAGACUUCUUUUAAAGUCAUUCCAAGAUGGAGGAAGUUUGUCUAUUAUGGAGGAUACCACAAUCAUUUCAUCCAUUUUCAUAUCAUAUUGCUUAAAUUGAUUCAGCAUCUUUUCAAUAUCACGAAAUUGUUCCAUAACAGAACGACCAUCAACCAUUUGAUAAUUAUUGAAACGACUGACAAGAAAUUUCUUACUUGUAACAUCUUCGGUCAUGUAUCUUGCCUCCAAUUUGUCCCAUAAUUCUUUAGCGGUGACGUCGUUUUGGUAGGUGUCGAACAAACCAUCAGAUAAACCAUUCAGUAUGUGGCACAUGCACAUGUAAUCAGCAUUGUCCCAUUUUUGUCUUUCUCGGGUUGCAGCAACAGAUUCAUUUUCAUUCUCUUCAGGUCUUGGAGUAUCCAAAACAUAAGCAAUCUUCAAAGUUGAUAACAAAAAGUGCAUCUUUUUCUGCCAUCGUCGAAAAUUGCCACCAUCAAAACGAUCAAGUUUAACAAAGUUGGAAGCCAACUCCCUUAGUGUUCCACUUUCAUGUGUUGUGGUAGUCAUCAUGAAAUAUAACCUUAAAAUUGUUAGUACAAAACUCCGGUAAGAAAAAAAAACUCGAACACACGAUCGGAACUCGAAAAGAAAAAGAAGAAAUAGGACAGGCUCCAAGGCGUGUAUCAAGCCACUAUCUUUAAGGUUAUAUUCACCCCCACUUAUCUUCAGUGUGCAAACGAGUUCCAAGCAAAUUAACCUCGAGGAUACAAUGAAGCCAAUGACUAUUUGCGUUUUGCACUGACGAGAAUAGUCCACUAUGCACUGAGUAAUGUAUAACAAAAACUCAAUUUCUACAAAGGAUUUCUGCAGCAAUACUUUAUAGAAUAAUCUAAUAAUAUUAGAAAAUGAAGGAUGAGAAGAAAUAAUAUUAGAAUUUGUUGAUAUGAUUUCCAAAUGAAAUCCCAUUCCUAUUUAUAGGAAUUUUCAUGUCUCUUCAUAGAGACAUCUUUCAAUAGGUGUCUUUAUGAAUAAAUAAAUAAUAAUAAUUAUUCAUUUAAUUUUGUAACUAUUCAAAUAAUAUUUUUUGAAUAGUUAUAAUUCUUUUUUUAAAAAAAUCAAAUGAUAUAACUUUUGACCAAUGACCAAAAGUUUUAUCUUUUGAUUAAUUACACCCAUUCAUUUAUAGUUAUUGGGAUACUAUAAAUAUUUGAAAAUAUUCCAACAAAAUAUGUGUUGUUAGUUAAUAUCAUUCUCAAAUUCAAUCCUUCCAUAAUUCAAGUCUCAUACCAUACAAAUACUAAAAAUAUCUCAGCAUAGAUGAGAGCCAGGAUCAAAUCAAAGUUUGUGACAAAACUUGUCUAGAAUGAUGAGAAUUUACCUUGAAUCCUCCAUUUCAUGCAGUUUCCUCCCAUUUUCUUAUGUUGACGAGGAAAUUUUCCAAGUCAACUAAACUGUUGACACCAUUUUUUUGAUUGAAAAACAGGGUCGACUUGGGUUUUGAAAAUGAAAACGGGAGUCGCCACCAGUCUUUUUUAUAAGGUGUUAUUGGAUCACCUUGCAAAGCGGUUGUUUUUAAUAAACAAUUUAAUUUUAUUAAAACAACGAUUUUGGUCCACGAAAUUCAAAAAACGGGUUCAGGAGUCGGUUACGCACGAGGAAGGAUUAGCACCCUCGAUACGCCCAAAAUUGGUACUUAGUUGAUUACUUAAAAUUUUUUUUAUUUUCGUUUUUUGGCAAAUGUAUACUGUUUUUUUAUAUAUAUGUAAAUAUAUGUAUAUAUAUAAAUAUAAAAAGAACAGAUGCAAAAAAAGAGAUGUGAAAAAGAAACCUUGAAACUUGUUUUUUUUUUAUUUCUUUUAAAGUUCUUGUACCAAAAUCUAAAAAAAAAAACCCCUAAAAUACAUUUUUCGUUGGCUUUUAUAGCCAAUCUUUGCUACCGUUUCUUGUCUUUUCUUCUUUGAUUUUACAAGUGCAAGUGGGCGGUGGAAGGCAAGUGAUGGGACAGUGGCGGUGGCACUAGGUCGGCGACCAGCAGGGCAGAGAAGACCCUAGGUGCAGCGCACCUAGGGUUUGAAAAUUUUUAAUUUUUUGUUUCUGAUUUGGGUUUCUGGGCUAGGGUUAGAUUUGGGCUUAUUAAGCUUUUUGUUUUCUGAUUUGGGCUGUGGUGUAUUGGGCUAGGCUAGUUGGGUCUGGGGCUGUUUGGUUAGGGUAAUGGGUUGUUUGUAAUUGGGCCCCGGGUCAAAAAUUGGGCCCUACAUAAACUGUUCAGUAAAUAAAAGAUUAAUGAUGCGAUCGGUCUUAUUAAAUCGUUUCAAGAUUUUUUUUAGUGGCAAUUACUAAUUACAAGUGGAAACACGAAAUGAAACUCAAGGUAGCAGAUACAAGACAACCUUGAGUUUGAGUUGGUAUGCACGAUAUUGCCGAGAUAUUACAUGAAGGGUACUAAAAUUAUUAAAAAAAAUGUUUCUUUUUGGGACAAUCAAAUAUUAGUUUUCAGCUUUAAAUACUUGUAAUCAAUAAUAAAUCCCUCGGAGGUUUUGCAGGUCGAUAUUAGAUGGUCUUUGUUUAUGAGGUUGAGCCUGCAAGGUAUGGAAACUUUGUUUAUAUCCGAUUUCCAGUGAUGGUGAUGAUAAAUUAGCUGUAAUCCCUAAACCUGGAAUGGCCAGAUAGUGGUGAAAUGAACUUUUGGUAGCUUUGUCUAUAGGGAUAAUAUAUUUUCUCCCUUAGCUAGUUUCACUUCGAUUUUGGUCUUAAAUUUAAAAAUUAUAAAAUUUUGAUCUGAUGCACCCUAAGAUCACGUCAAAUAGUCACUUGAAAAUUGUAAAUUUAUAUAAAUUUUUAUGUGAUAAGUUAGAAUAAUUUUAAAGUGUUACAUACAAUGUUUUAAUAAUUGGAUAGGUGGUUGAAUAGGUUAGACCAUCGAUUUCUUAUCCAAUCAGUUUGAUCGGUUCGACCAUUGGACCAACAAUACUUAAAAAUUCAUAAAAAUAUAAAAAAAUUAAAAAGAUAAAAAAUUAUUAAAUCGGUUAAACAUGUUCAACUGUCAAUUUUUGUUUCGGUUUUUUAUUUUCACCAAUUUCAAGUCAAUUGAUUCAACCCAUUUGUUCGAACUGUUAAUCGAUCAGUUCUCAGUCCAUCUGAUCUGAUUAUGUUCCAGUAACAUUGGUCACGUUAUCAAAUCUUGACAGAAUUUGAGUUAAAUGACCAAAAUAAAUCUAAUUACCAAAUUCAAUAAUCGAAAAUAUAAAUAUCAAAAUAAACCUAAUUAUCACAUUCAAGUAAAAAUAUAUAUUAUACCUUUACGUUAAUGUCCAAAGUUAAGCCAUUUGUUUAAACCGAAAAGCCUCGAAAAAAAAUUGUUUAUUAUGAUAUGAAUGGUUUGAAGGUUAUUACCAAACAAUUUGUAUUACCUGUAAUUGAAUUACUAAAACAGGAAAAAAAUUAUUUAUUUUAUUUUUUAAAUAUUAUAAAAAAUAAUUGUUAUACAUCUAUAAUAAUAUUUGAGAUAUUUCUAACAACAUUUAAAAUUUAGAUUAUAUUUAAUUUUUUAUUUUAAAUUUAAAAAUUAUAAUGUAUUAAUAAUAUUAUUACUUAAUGAGACUUAGAUUGCAUUUUUAGUAAAAUUUACAAAUAUAAUUUUUUGUAUUAAAGACUGUUUUUAUUUAAUAAAUUAAAAUUAAUAUAUUUUCAUUUACAAUUUAAACAUUUUAUUAAAAUAAUAUCUUAAGUAAAAAAAAUAUUUUUAUUUCGUGUAAGAAUAGAAUUUUUUUUACUAAAAUUUAAGACAAUAGGAUGUUUUAAAUGAUUAAUUUAGUAAGUUGUUAUUGUUAUUGUUAUAAAUGAAAAGUUGGUAUAGAUGAAAAAAAUAAAGCAUAAAUAACCAGUUUGUUAUAAUGAAAUGUUGUUAUAGAUGUUGGUUGUUAUAAAGAGUUGAUAGAACUCACACUCUAUCAAUUUGAGAUUGAGCUUAAUAGAUGAUAAGCUAUAAAAGUAACAUAUUUUAAUCUCAUUCUUAAUGCGUUUUUGGAUGAUUAAUUAUACAAAUUAGUGAAUAUGAUGUUUCUAAUCCGUUAAAUUCAUGUUUCUAUACUUAGGAGAGCAUUUGGGAGUGGAAGGAGCGAAAAACGAGCCAAAAUCGGACAAAUAAAGCUAUUUUCAAGAGCCACAUGACCUGGGCAUUUCCACACGGGCUAGGCAUAUGCUCAUGUGAGCCACACGGGUUUGACACACGCCCAUGUGUCAUCCCAUGUUGAUUUCGCAUCAUUUUUCCCAAAUACGUGGAAAAACCUAAUUUUUAGGCUUUCUAAGCAUUCUAAAGUCUAUAAAUACCCACUAUAAGAAGACAUAAGAGGGCAAUUAGAGAAGAUCGAAGAAAACACUCAAAGGACACCAUCGGAAUCAACUAGGAAGCGGGUCUCCAUCAAGAUCAAAGAUCUCCUUUUAAUUUCUUUCGAAGUUUUAUUAAGUUUCUUCUGUCUUGUGAUUAUUCUAACUUUGAGAUGUUUUUAUUCAGGAUUAUGAACUAACUCCCUAGAUAACUAGGGAGGAUGAAACCUAUGAUGAAUCCUUUUAUUUAAUUUCUGUUUUUAUGCGAUAAAUACUUGAUUCUUGUUCUCAAUUAUGUAUGCUUAUUUCUUAUUUUAAAAUUUCUGGGAUAUUAAUUUAUGUUUAGUGUGCUUAUUCCAGUGGAGGAAAAGUUCCUGUUUAAUAGUAGAUCUGGCAUAAUUGAGUGGAGUUGCAUGCAAUCUUAGAAAUAGAACGACAUAAAUCUACCGGAUUAGAGUCAAAUCUAAUAGGGGAAUCCAUAGAUCGAGUUAAUACGACGAUAAGGGUUUUAAUUAGAAAGAAAUUUCAAUUAAUCAACCAAGAGUCAGUUGUUCUUAACCCUCGAAAGAGAUAUUAACAUAAUUUAGGGAUUUCUACGGAUCAAGACACAAGUGAAUAAAUCGUUUAACUCAGAUUCAUAAUAAUAGGUAAAGUCUAAGUGGAAUCUUUCCUGGAUAUUAUCUAUCUCAUUGGUUAAUAUUUGACUAUUUCUUUGAUUCAUUCUCUGUUGCGUUCUUAGUUAAAUUAGUUUAGUAAAUUUAGAUUAAAACACAUCACCCCAUAUUGUCGGCUAAAUAAUAGAAAAAUAGUAAUUACUAGUACUUUUAGUCUUCGUGGAUAAAUAUUCCCUACUCACCAUAGUUAUACUAUUGUUCGAUAGGUGCACUUGCCUUUGUCAUAUUUAUAGUUAGUUUUGUGACCAUCAGUAGAGAAGAUUAAGUGGUAGAAAGUUGAGAACGACUAAGUCUACCUAAUCUAAAAACAUAAAUAUAAUUCGGGUAAAGAGUUUAUUGUUAUAAAUAUCACUAUGGCUAGAUUUUUUAAAGAAAAUUUUAAAUUUCCAUUGUGCUUCUAAACAUUGUUUUCAAACAUAUUUUUCCAACAAAGGAAACGCAAGAGAAGGCUAAGUAAACAUGUGAAAGGCUUAAGUGAGAAAAGGAGAAAAGAUCCAUCAUACAUCUGUGUUGGGGUAUAUAUAAAGGAAGCCCCUCUUAUCUAGUAGUGUCAUGCCAUCGACAGUACGAAUAAUGGUCUGUUUGUUGGUAGGCUAGGUGGCAAGUUUGUUACAUGUUAGUUGUCGUCAAGUAUAGUAUUACGGGGUCUUGUUUUGACAUUUCCUUUACAAAGAUAGUACGAGAUUGUUAUGUUUUAGUGUUCUCCAUGGACAAUCUGUACCGAGUGACCAAAAGCAAUGUGGCUCCCCUUACAAGUGGUGUGAGGCGUGCAUGCGGCGGGUCAUGAAUGAUCAGUCAGAUAGUCAUUAUUGAUGGUACAAGAUAAAGGGCUAUCCGUGGGCGCCUCCUAAAUCGCUUCUCAUGCUACCAUAUCUAAUCAGAGAUACGGACAUAACAGUUACUUACUUUAAGAAAAAAAAACAAUUAGGUACUUAGAUGAAAAAGUUGUGGAAAAUUUUUCAUAUAAACUUUUCAUGAAGAAAAAAGUAGCAUGUUUGGCCCAAAUGACAUGGGAAAGGUCUAAUAUACUCCAGAUUCCAGAGCCUGCCUCAUAAGCCGAAUUCGGCUUUACUCUGAACGGUGCCUUUCUCAUUUGGACGUUUUCCGUUAUAAUCUCAACUCUCAAUUUCUUUCUUUCUCUUCUCUCUGUCUUAGGGCUUUAAUAAGCGAGGCGAAAAUAUGGAACACGGACCGUCGGGCGGUUCGACGGCGAUGAGAAGAAGAAGUGGCGUGAGAGGUGGGGCAAGGAUGGAGUGCCUCGAACAUGAUAUACUUUGUAUCAUCUUCUCCUUCCUCGACGUCUUCGACCUCGUUCGCUGCACUGCCGUUUGCAAAUCCUGGUACUCUUUCUCUCUCUCUGGUUCUGCUCUCUCAAUUUUUCUUUUUAAAUUCAAGGAUUUUACCUUACUUGCUUCUUUUUUUGUUUUACUUUUAUUAAGGAAUGCAGUCAUUAGAAAGUCUGAGUUAUUGCUAGUAUUGUAUUUCAAGCUGCGGCGGGAUUCUGGUGAGUCUACUUCUUCAGGGCAACAGAAAUCAAUGGAAUUUGGUCUACAAGAAGUAGCCAUGAAGUAUCAUAGGCUAUGUUUACAAAGAGGUCGCAUAAUAUACAUCAUUUAAGGUUAAAACCUUUCCAAAAGUGAAUUGUAGUUCAACAGACCCUUUGCCUUUAAUUGUUGCGGUGGAAGAAUUUCCCAUGUACAAGACAUUGUCAUUUUCACAUUGUGUGAACUUUGUGAACAUGCUUUUGUCUUUGCACACAUGUUUGGUUGCUCCGGUAUCAAUCCAC